UACGUAGGGGGCAAGCGUUGUCCGGAUUUAUUGGGCGUAAAGAGCGUGUAGGCGGCUUGGCAAGUCCGCUGUGAAAACUCGAGGCUCAACCUCGAGACGUCGGUGGAAACUGCCUCGCUAGAGUCCGGAAGAGGAGAGUGGAAUUCCUGGUGUAUCGGUGAAAUGCGCAGAUAUCAGGAAGAACACCCGUGGCUAAGGCGGCUCUCUAGUACGGUACUGACGCUGAGACGCGAAAGCGUGGGGAGCGAACAGG
rnacentral:rRNA from 1 species